rnacentral:pre_miRNA from 1 species
AAAGUACUCCCUCCGUUCCGAAUUACUCGUCGCAGGUAUGGAUGUAUCUAGAUGUACUUUAGUUCUAGAUACAUCCAUUUCUGCGACGAGUAAUUUGGAACGGAGGGAGUAGUGA